rnacentral:rRNA from 1 species
AGAGACCGGCGCACGGGUGCGUAACGCGUAUGCAAUCUACCUUUUACAGAGGGAUAGCCCAGAGAAAUUUGGAUUAAUACCUCAUAGUAUUAUAGAAUGGCAUCAUUUUAUAAUUAAAGUCACAACGGUAAAAGAUGAGCAUGCGUCCCAUUAGCUAGUUGGUAAGGUAACGGCUUACCAAGGCGACGAUGGGUAGGGGUCCUGAGAGGGAGAUCCCCCACACUGGUACUGAGACACGGACCAGACUCCUACGGGAGGCAGCAGUGAGGAAUAUUGGUCAAUGGACGCAAGUCUGAACCAGCCAUGCCGCGUGCAGGAUGACGGUCCUAUGGAUUGUAAACUGCUUUUGUACAGGAAGAAACCCUGGCUCGUGAGCCAGAUUGACGGUACUGUAAGAAUAAGGAUCGGCUAACUCCGUGCCAGCAGCCGCGGUAAUACAGAGGGUGCAAGCGUUAAUCGGAAUUACUGGGCGUAAAGGGAGCGUAGGUGGCUCGAUAAGUCAGAUGUGAAAUCCCCGGGCUCAACCUGGGA